rnacentral:rRNA from 1 species
AGUCGAACGAUUAAGCACCUUCGGGUGUGUAUAGAGUGGCGAACGGGUGAGUAACACGUGACCAACCUGCCUCUUACAUUGGGACAACCAAAAGAAAUUCUGGCUAAUACCAAAUACUUCGCACAUAUCACAUGAUGUAUGCGGGAAAGCUUUUGCGGUAAGAGAUGGGGUCGCGGCCCAUUAGGUAGACGGCGGGGUAGAAGCCCACCGUGCCGAUGAUGGGUAGCCGGGUUGAGAGACCGACCGGCCACAUUGGGACUGAGAUACGGCCCAGACUCCUACGGGAGGCAGCAGUGGGGAAUAUUGCGCAAUGGGGGAAACCCUGACGCAGCAACGCCGCGUGCGGGAUGAAGGCCUUCGGGUUGUAAACCGCUUUCAGCAGGGAAGACAUCGACGGUACCUACAGAAGAAGCCCCGGCUAACUACGUGCCAGCAGCCGCGGUAAUACGUAGGGGGCGAGCGUUAUCCGGAUUCAUUGGGCGUAAAGCGCGCGCAGGCGGUUGCUCAAGCGGAACCUCUAAUCUCGGGGCUUAACCUCGAGCCGGGUUCCGAACUGGACGACUCGAGUGCGGUAGAGGCAGAUGGAAUUCCCGGUGUAGCGGUGGAAUGCGCAGAUAUCGGGAAGAACACCAACGGCGAAGGCAGUCUGCUGGGCCGUCACUGACGCUGAGGCGCGAAAGCUGGGGGAGCGAACAGGAUUAGAUACCCUGGUAGUCCCAGCCGUAAACGAUGAGCGCUGGGUGUGGG